AUACGUAGGGGGCGAGCGUUGUCCGGAUUUACUGGGCGUAAAGGGUGAGUAGGCGGUUAUAUAUGUCAGGUGUAAAAGGCUAUGGCUUAACUAUAGUAAGCACUUGAAACUGUAUGACUUGAGUGCAGGAGAGGUAAGUGGAAUUCCUAGUGUAGCGGUGAAAUGCGUAGGUAUUAGGAAGAACACCAGUGGCGAAGGCGACUCUCUGGACUGCAACUGACGCUGAGGCACGAAAGCGUGGGUAGCGAACAGGAGUAGAUACCCUGGUAGUCCACGCCGUAAACGAUGUGUGCUAGGUGUCGGGGGUCAAACCUCGGUGCCGGAGUUAACGCAUUAAGCACUCCGCCUGGGGAGUACGUUCGCAAGAAUGAA
rnacentral:rRNA from 1 species